CGGGACGGGGUGGAGUAAUGUCUGGGAAACUGCCUGAUGGAGGGGGGUAACUACUGGAAACGGUAGCUAAUACCGCAUAACGUCGCAAGACCAAAGAGGGGGACCGUUCGGGCCUCUUGCCAUCGGAUGUGCCCAGAUGGGAUUAGCUAGUAGGUGGGGUAACGGCUCACCUAGGCGACGAUCCCCAGCUGGUCUGAGAGGAUGACCAGCCACACUGGAACUGAGACACGGUCCAG
rnacentral:rRNA from 1 species